CCAGAUGGACGGUGUGUCCUUCUGAUGAUGUUUUAUCUGUCCCGGAAAAAAAACAGCUGAGGGCCCAGGGGGACUCGAUGGGUCGCUGUAACCUUCUUCCUCUGAGUCCUGCAGAACCCCAUUUAGGUCAUCGCAGACAGGAAGAUCUGGACCACUUCCUGCCACACUAUGGCAGCAAGCUCUGACCUGUAUUCAUCCCAGCUCUUGCCUGCCACAGACCCCAGCACCUCCCAGAGUAAAACUCUACAGGGGAGAUACUGCUCUGAAGAGCAGCAGAUCUGGUCAACUACAAACCCGUGCUGUGGUUUCCCUGGUCUUUCACAACCAUCACCACUCGACUGGCAUCUUGUCACAAAACUGCUCCUCCCCCCCAAUUCAGACGCAUGGUUCUUACUGGGAGCAGGAAGAGGAACACGGCCUCGGAGGGCUGUUUACAUCUGGGGAUUGGUCUUUCGAAGCCAGUGACAAGUUCAUUACCCGCCUGUGUCAGCAGAGAUGUCUUCGGGGACUCCGUGGGACCAGAAACUAUCAACAAUAAACACUUCCUGCAUGA